rnacentral:rRNA from 1 species
GAUGAACGCUGGCGGCGUGCCUAAUACAUGCAAGUCGAACGAGGUGCUUUUGUAGCAAUACGAGAGUAUCCUAGUGGCGAACGGGUGAGUAACGCGUGGAUGACCUGCCCCAAAGUGCGGGAUAACAGUCCGAAAGGAUUGCUAAUACCUCAUGUGGUUAUCGGUUUUAGAAAGCGAUAACUAAAGCAGCAAUGCGCUUUGGGAGGGAUCUGCGUCCCAUCAGCUAGUUGGUGAGGUAACGGCUCACCAAGGCGACGACGGGUAGGGGACCUGAGAGGGUGGCCCCCCACAAUGGAACUGAAACACGGUCCAUACACCUACGGGUGGCAGCAGUAGGGAAUAUUGCUCAAUGGGCGAAAGCCUGAAGCAGCAACGCCGCGUGUGCGAUGAAGGCCUUGGGUCGUAAAGCACUUUUCUAAGAGAUGAGAAAGGACAGUAUCUUAGGAAUAAGUCUCGGCUAACUACGUGCCAGCAG